rnacentral:rRNA from 1 species
GAUGAACGCUGGCGGCGUGCCUAAUACAUGCAAGUCGAGCGAACGGACGAGAAGCUUGCUUUUCUGAUGUUAGCGGCGGACGGGUGAGUAACACGUGGAUAACCUACCUAUAAGACUGGGAUAACUUCGGGAAACCGGAGCUAAUACCGGAUAAUAUUUUGAACCGCAUGGUUCAAAAGUGAAAGACGGUCUUGCUGUCACUUAUAGAUGGAUCCGCGCUGCAUUGGCUAGUUGGUAAGGUAACGGCUUACCAAGGCAACGAUGCAUAGCCGACCUGAGAGGGUGAUCGGCCACACUGGAACUGAGACACGGUCCAGAGUCCUACGGGAGGCAGCAGUAGGGAAUCUUCCGCAAUGGGCGAAAGCCUGACGGAGCAACGCCGCGUGAGUGAUGAAGGUCUUCGGAUCGUAAAACUCUGUUAUUAGGGAAGAACAUAUGUGUAAGUAACUGUGCACAUCGUGACGGUACCUAAUCAGAAAGCAACGGCUAACUACGUG